GACGAACGCUGGCGGCGUGCUUAACACAUGCAAGUCGAACGGAAAGGCCCUGCUUUUGUGGGCUGCUCGAGUGGCGAACGGGUGAGUAACACGUGAGUAACCUGCCCUUGACUUUGGGAUAACUUCAGGAGACUGGGGCUACUACCGGAUAGGAGCUCCUGCUGCAUGGUGGGGGUUGGAAAGGUUCGGCGGUUGGGGAUGGACUCGCGGCUUAUCAGCUUGUUGGUGGGGUAGUGGCUUACCAAGGCUUUGACGGGUAUCCGGCCUGAGAGGGUGACCGGGCUCAUUGGGACUGAGAUACGGCCCAGACUCCUACGGGAGGCAGCAGUGGGGAAUAUUGCGCAAUGGGCGGAAGCCUGAUGCAGCAACGCCGCGUUCGGGAUGACGGCCUUCGGGUUGUAAACCGCUUUCGCCUGUGACGAAGCGUGAGUGACGGUAAUGGGUAAAGAAGCACCGGCUAACUACGUG
rnacentral:rRNA from 1 species